CGCUUUAAGAGGGGCGGGGCUGCCACUGACAGGUGGCCUUACGCGCGACGUUUAAAAAGCAGCAUCGCAUUAUGUUUCGUUAGUGAAUACACUCGCUUCGUCGUCGGCAUGGCCCAAUGGUUAUUACCUGCUUCUGAUACUACUUCUGUUACAUCUACUACUACUUCUGCUGCAAAGUGCUCCAAUAAAUGUGUCA